UGCGUAGGCGGUCCGGGAAGUCGGGUGUGAAAGCCCUCAGCUUAACUGAGGAAUUGCGCCCGAAACUGCCGGGCUGGAGGGAGACAGAGGUGAGCGGAACUUAGGGUGGAGCGGUGAAAUGCGUUGAGAUCCUAAGGAACACCAGUAGCGAAAGCGGCUCACUGGGUCUCUUCUGACGCUGAUGCACGAAAGCUAGGGGAGCGAAGAGGAUUAGAUACCCUCGUAGUCCUAGCCGUAAACAAUGAGCACUGGUUUGGAGGGUCCUCCAUAGCCUUCCAGACGUAGCGAAAGUGUUAAGUGCUCCGCCUGGGGAGUAUGGUCGCAAGGCUGAA
rnacentral:rRNA from 1 species